UACGAAGGGGGCUAGCGUUGCUCGGAAUCACUGGGCGUAAAGCGCACGUAGGCGGCUUCUUAAGUCAGGGGUGAAAUCCUGGAGCUCAACUCCAGAACUGCCUUUGAUACUGAGGAGCUUGAGUUCGGGAGAGGUGAGUGGAACUGCGAGUGUAGAGGUGAAAUUCGUAGAUAUCGCAAGAACACCAGUGGCGAAGGCGGCUCACUGGCCCGAGUACUGACGCUGAGGUGCGAAAGCGUGGGGAGCAAACAGGG
rnacentral:rRNA from 1 species